rnacentral:lncRNA from 1 species
GUGUGUGUGAUGGAGAAAGGUGUGUGUGUGUGUGUGAUGGAGAAAGGUGUGUGUGUGUGUGUGAUAGAGAAAGGUGUGUGUGUGUGUGUGAUGGAGAAAGGUGUGUGUGUGUGAUGGAGAAAGGUGUGUGUGUGUGUGUGAUAUGGAGAAAGGUGUGUGUGUGUGAUGGAGAAAGGUGUGUGUGUGUGAUGGAGAAAGGUGUGUGUGUGUGAUGGAGAAAGGUGUGUGUGUGUGUGAUGGAGAGAGGUGUGUGUGUGUGUGUGAUAUGGAGAAAGGUGUGUGUGUGUGAUGGAGAAAGGUGUGUGUGUGUGAUGGAGAGAGGUGUGUGUGUGUGAUGGAGAAAGGUGUGUGUGUGUGAUGGAGAGAGGUGUGUGUGAGAAAAAGAAGCAUUGAGAGGAAAAGAGAUGAAACAGGAAACAGGAGAGAGCGAGAGAGACGGGGA